UACGAAGGGGGGCUAGCGUUGCUCGGAAUCACUGGGCGUAAAGCGCACGUAGGCGGAUCUUUAAGUCAGGGGUGAAAUCCCAAGGCUCAACCUUGGAACUGCCUUUGAUACUGGGGAUCUCGAGUCCGGAAGAGGUGAGUGGAACUGCGAGUGUAGAGGUGAAAAUUCGUAGAUAUUCGCAAGAACACCAGUGGCGAAGGCGGCUCACUGGUCCGGUACUGACGCUGAGGUGCGAAAGCGUGGGGAGCAAACAGGG
rnacentral:rRNA from 1 species